rnacentral:rRNA from 1 species
GACGAACGCUGGCGGCGUGCCUUACACAUGCAAGUCGAACGGAGUGGCGAACGGGUGGGUAAUGUAUCUGAACGUGCCCAGUAGCGGGGGAUAACUACGCGAAAGCGAAGCUAAUACCACAUACUAUUGGAGCGGCCGAUCUCGGAUUAGCUAGUUGGUGGGGUAACGGCUCACCAAGGCGACGAACCGUAGCUGGUUUGAGAGGACGAACAGCCACACUGGGACUGAGACACGGCCCAGACUCCUACGGGAGGCAGCAGUGGGGAAUAUUGGACAAUGGGGGAAAACCUGAUCCAGCCAUGCCGCGUGUGCGAUGAAGGCCUUCGGGUUGUAAAGAACUUUUGGCAGGAAGGCGGUACCUGCAGAAUAAGCACCGGCUAACUACGUGCCAGCAGCCGCGGUAAUAC